rnacentral:rRNA from 1 species
UACGUAGGGCGCAAGCGUUGUCCGGAAUUAUUGGGCGUAAAGAGCUCGUAGGCGGUUUGUCGCGUCUGCUGUGAAAACCUAAGGCUCAACCUUGGGCUUGCAGUGGGUACGGGCAGACUAGAGUGCGGUAGGGGUGACUGGAAUUCCUGGUGUAGCGGUGGAAUGCGCAGAUAUCAGGAGGAACACCGAUGGCGAAGGCAGGUCACUGGGCACCCACCUGACGCUGAGGGCGCGAAAAGC